UACGUAGGGUGCAAGCGUUAAUCGGAAUUACUGGGCGUAAAGCGUGCGCAGGCGGUUUUGUAAGUCUGUCGUGAAAUCCCCGGGCUUAACCUGGGAAUUGCGAUGGAGACUGCAAGGCUGGAGUCUGGCAGAGGGGGGUAGAAUUCCACGUGUAGCAGUGAAAUGCGUAGAGAUGUGGAGGAACACCGAUGGCGAAGGCAGCCCCCUGGGUCAAGACUGACGCUCAUGCACGAAAGCGUGGGGAGCGAACAGG
rnacentral:rRNA from 1 species